ACUGUACGUUGGUUUUAUGGUACCUGCUUGCAGUUCUGUUUUUUGUUUUUUUUAAAGAAAAAAAGAUUUGAAAGAGCCAAUGUGGCGUAGCGUUUCGUUUUGGUCACCACCCCUCUAGUUGUCAGAACUUCCGGGAAAACACGAUAAAUACCGAAGAAGAAGAAGAAGAAGAACUCGUCAAAGUACUACAACUACAGCUGAAACUACCAACUCGACAAACUAUCUAGACACUCUUUUGCUCAUUCAUUAUCAUGUAUUUCCCCCUCCUGAUGGAUCACGACUAUUCGUUGCCGGUUCCCGACCCUCCGGUCACCCAAACUGCUCCGGUGAAGCGCAAACGUGCCGGCGAACUGAAUGACCGGAGGAGACUGAGCCACCAGAGGAGCGGUAAAACCCGGAUUAACAUCGGAGAGUGUCUCCCCAGGUGGCGAGAGCUCCGUAGCAGGUUGGGACUGCAGAGAGACGCUGAUAUGGCUCGAGUUCUCCUGGACAGCUUCACUAAUAUGACGUCCACCAUGAGCCUGAGUGAAGAUGAUGAUGAUGAUGAUUAUCUUAAAAACACAAAGUUUGUCUGGAACAACCCAGAUGAGGAUGACACAUGGGAAACAGCCAGUGAAGACAGCACCACUGAAGAGUACAUCCCUUCUAUUUCUCUGAGGAAGGGUGGAGGAAAAAAUAAUUUGGAGCAGAAAAAUGGUCUACAAGAGAAAGUGCAGCGCUGUACUGCAGUGAAUAAACUUCUCCCUCCACGUGAAGAGUCUGUAUCGACGCCUCCUAUUAGCCAUCAGGUCAAGUGUGAGGAUUAUAUGAAUGGACAAUCAGUUCCAGUUACAUAUGAAUCCAGCAUGAGACAGCUGGUCACACUUCUACAGAUACCUGUGGUGAAUCUGAACGUCACAGACAUCAACAAAUGAUGCUUGUCAGGCUUCAGCCACUUCAAGAAGCACAGGAACAAUCAUCACAUGGAUGUUCCAAUAGCCACAGAAUACAGGUGUGGAGCUCGGCGCCCACUCUGAAACACAGACCGCAUCCUGUCAGGGAAAAACUUGUACAAAGUUUCACAAAGGUUAAGCUGCACGAAAGUGGUCUUUGUCCGAAAAGACACGUUUUCCAACAGUUAAAGCUCCAACGAAGGGAGAGAGAUCUGUACAAUAAAGACGGUGGUGUUGUUUUAGGGGUCAGCGCUACACUUCAGGACAAGAGACCCAAGCUGGACUCUAAUCUCGUUUAUCCAGUGUUCUGAACCACCCUGACUUUUAGUUUCUUUUUUUUGUUUUUCAUUUUUUAGGACACUUUGUCUGCGCAACUCUUUUCAUCCACAUUUGUUCUCGCAUAAAACUGUGUGUUAAAGGUAUAAUGUGUCACAUUUCUGCAUUAAAAUGUCUAAAAAUCA